rnacentral:rRNA from 1 species
UCGGGAGGCAGCAGUGGGGAAUAUUGGACAAUGGGCGAAAGCCUGAUCCAGCCAUGCCGCGUGUGCGAAGAAGGCCUUCGGGUUGUAAAGCACUUUUGUCAGGGAAGAAAUCCUUUGGGCUAAUACCCUAGGGGGAUGACGGUACCUGAAGAAUAAGCACCGGCUAACUACGUGCCAGCAGCCGCGGUAAU